rnacentral:lncRNA from 1 species
AGAGAAAAUCAAACACUGAUUUUUAAACAAUGCCUACAUCCAGUGUCCUUCCAACCUUGGAAGCAAAUGCACUAUAAUUGUUGCGUUUUUACAAAAAGGAAUUUAUAAAAGCACCACGCAAAAAUAUAAAUCUCUUCUCUAACCCAAAACCAAAUACAACUGCACACAAAAACCAGAAUUGCAGCAAGAAUCCCCUCUCCUGCAAUCUGCACCCACGUUGAACAAUCCUCAACGUGUCACCAAC